AUGAGAUUCUCCAUUUUAUUUUACAUUUAUUACUAAAAUUUAGCAAAUUGCAUCAUAAUCCUGUUCAGACGAGGUUCCUUCAGCCUUUGCAAAUCAAGAGAAAUAGAAACAAAUAGAAACAUUAUUUAAUUACUUCUCUUCUCUGUAUGCUUUAUCUAUGUUCACUGUCCAGUGCAAAGGAAAUAACAAUAUUUAACAGGGAGCUAAGGUAGAGGCGCUCAUUGCGAAGGGUAAAGAAGUUUGGAUUUCAACAUUUAAUUUUCUUUCAAACCUUGAAAAAUAGGUAAUUGUUAAAUAUAAGCAACUAAACAUUAUAUUACAAAUUUGUAAUUGACAUAUCUACUAUAAAUCCAUAUAUUUUUAGAUUAUGUGCAAGAUUCAUUAACAUAAUAAGUAGUAAAUGCACUGUGAAAAGUUUAAUUUGACAAUAAGCUUUUCUAAGACAGGACAGUGGCUAUUUUUUCCUUAAAGGGAAAGUUUAAUGUAGUUGUUCUGGUGUGUAUAGUCAGUCCCUGCAGGCUUUGUGCUGUAAAUAGGGAUGUCCCGAACUGUUUGCCAAACAGUUCGCCGUGGUUCGCCACGGACUCCAGUUAGCAG